AGACACCCAAAGAAAGUGAGAGAAUAGGGCAUGUGGCUAUCUGAAGGAAAAACAUUGUGGGCAAAAGGAAUAGCAAAUGAAAAGGCCCCCAGGUAAAGGUGUGUGUGGCUGGAAAGGAAUUGAGAGGUAGGAAAUAAGAUCAGACACAGCAGAUCAUGUGGGGCCUUGUAAGCCACUGUAAGGAUUUUACCUCUGCACCGAAUAAGACAGGAAGCCAUUGAGUGCUUUGAGCAGAGGAGUGACAUGAUUUGACCUACAUUUAUUUGUAAGAUUGUACUCGCUGUUUAUGUUGAGAAUAGACAACAAGAAGAGCAAAUGCAGAGUCACAGAGAGAAAUCCCAUGGCUACUGCAACAAUACAGGCGAGAAAGUAUGGCAGCUUGGACCAGAGUGGUAGGAGAUGGAAGGAUCUUGCUCUGUCGCCCACGCUGGAAUGCAGUGGUGUGAUCUUGACUCACGGCAACCUCCGCUUCCUGAGCUCAAGAUGGAGUCUCGCUCUUGUCGCCCAAGCUGGAGUGCCAUGGCGUGAUCUAGACUCACUGCAACCUCCACUUCCCAGGUUCAAGCAGCUCUCUUGCCUCAGCUUCCCGAGUGGCUGGGCCUGCAGGCAUGAGCCACCACGUCUCACUAAGUUUUUGUAUUUUUAGUAGAGACGGAGUUUCACCAUGUUGGCCAGGCUGGUCUCCAACUCCUGAGCUCAUGUGAUCCGCCCGCCUCGGCCUCCUGAAGUGCUGGGGUUACAGGUCUGAACCACCACGCCCGGCCUCCUCUGGAUUGCUUCUUACAGGUAUAGAUUAGUUCUUGCCAGAGCAGGUUGUUGUAAAAGUGAAGUUGCCUCUAGUGUUUUGCAUCCUCACACAUGUCUGCUUACCCCUUGACCUCUCCCUAAGUUAUGACCCAGCACAAAAGCCCUCACCAGAAGCCAAGCAGAUGCUGAUGCCACACCCCUUGGACUUCUCAGUCUACAGAGCCGUGAACCAAAUAAACCUUUCUUUAUAAAUUAUCCA
rnacentral:lncRNA from 13 species